UGUAAAUCAAGUGAUCUAAGGCUACAUUUACAUUGAUACGUUUUGGUUUAAAAACUAAUAUCUUUAUAGCUAUGUUUACAGCUCUCAUUCCCACUGCUCUG